UGGCAAUGUAGGAGUGGAUCUGCUUUGAUGGACCUCUUGAGAAGUCUGCACUGCUGUGCCUCAAAUUCCCCUUCUGGCUGUGCUGUGCAGUCAAGUUCCAGGCAGGUAAUGAGGACCUCUGCUGCAGCUUCUGGUCUCUGCUUCUUUACCUGGACCUGGGGAACAAAACCUGAAAGCUCAUGGUUCCUUUCAUUUUCUCCGCCCAACUAAUUUUCUGAAAUGAAGAGAAUCUGCAGGAAGAGCAAAUACUGAUCUGCUCACGAUCAAAGGCUGGGUGAUGUUCAGACCACUUACUACAAAAAUACUGGCAUUAACGGGGACAUUUUCUCCUUAGAGAAGCUCAUGCUGAGACCAUGUAUAUCUAGAUUGCCUUGGAGAACUAAGCAGAAAUGUGGCUGUAGGUGGACUCACUACUGAACCCCCAUCAGCACCAUGAAGAAAACCCCUCUGAGUAACAAUGGCAGAGCAUCUUUAAGAAGAUCUCAUGUACGUCUGAUAACAAUCUUUUCAUUCUGGAAGAUACCUGCUUUAUAGGAA